rnacentral:rRNA from 1 species
GUGGGGAAUCUUGCACAAUGGGGGAAACCCUGAUGCAGCGACGCCGCGUGAACGAUGAAGCCCUUCGGGGUGUAAAGUUCUUUCGACAGGAACGAUAAUGACGGUACCUGGAGAAGAAGCUGCGGCUAACUACGUGCCAGCAGCCGCGGUAAUACGUAGGCAGCGAGCGUUGUUCGGAGUUACUGGGCGUAAAGAGUGCGUAGGCGGCGAGCCAAGUUUGGUGUGAAAUCUCCCGGCUUAACCGGGAGGGUGCGCCGAAAACUGGUUGGCUGGAGUAUGGGAGAGGAAAGCGGAAUUCCUGGUGUAGCGGUGAAAUGCGUAGAUAUCAGGAGGAACACCUGCGGUGUAGACAGCUUUCUGGACCAAAACUGACGCUGAGGCACGAAAGCGUGGGUAGCAAACA